rnacentral:rRNA from 1 species
UGCAGUCGAGCGGUAGCACAGAGAGCUUGCUCUCGGGUGACGAGCGGCGGACGGGUGAGUAAUGUCUGGGAAACUGCCUGAUGGAGGGGGAUAACUACUGGAAACGGUAGCUAAUACCGCAUAACGUCGCAAGACCAAAGUGGGGGACCUUCGGGCCUCAUGCCAUCAGAUGUGCCCAGAUGGGAUUAGCUGGUAGGUGGGGUAACGGCUCACCUAGGCGACGAUCCCUAGCUGGUCUGAGAGGAUGACCAGCCACACUGGAACUGAGACACGGUCCAGACUCCUACGGGAGGCAGCAGUGGGGAAUAUUGCACAAUGGGCGCAAGCCUGAUGCAGCCAUGCCGCGUGUGUGAAGAAGGCCUUCGGGUUGUAAAGCACUUUCAGCGGGGAGGAAGGCGGUGAGGUUAAUAACCUCACCGAUUGACGUUACCCGCAGAAGAAGCACCGGCUAACUCCGUGCCAGCAGCCGCGGUAAUACGGAGGGUGCAAGCGUUAAUCGGAAUUACUGGGCGUAAAGCGCACGCAGGCGGUCUGUCAAGUCGGAUGUGAAAUCCCCGGGCUCAACCUGGGAACUGCAUUCGAAACUGGCAGGCUAGAGUCUUGUAGAGGGGGGUAGAAUUCCAGGUGUAGCGGUGAAAUGCGUAGAGAUCUGGAGGAAUACCGGUGGCGAAGGCGGCCCCCUGGACAAAGACUGACGCUCAGGUGCGAAAGCGUGGGGAGCAAACAGGAUUAGAUACCCUGGUAGUCCACGCUGUAAACGAUGUCGAUUUGGAGGUUGUGCCCUUGAGGCGUGGCUUCCGGAGCUAACGCGUUAAAUCGACCGCCUGGGGAGUACGGCCGCAAGGUUAAAACUCAAAUGAAUUGACGGGGGCCCGCACAAGCGGUGGAGCAUGUGGUUUAAUUCGAUGCAACGCGAAGAACCUUACCUGGUCUUGACAUCCACAGAACUUUCCAGAGAUGGAUUGGUGCCUUCGGGAACUGUGAGACAGGUGCUGCAUGGCUGUCGUCAGCUCGUGUUGUGAAAUGUUGGGUUAAGUCCCGCAACGAGCGCAACCCUUAUCCUUUGUUGCCAGCGGUCCGGCCGGGAACUCAAAGGAGACUGCCAGUGAUAAACUGGAGGAAGGUGGGGAUGACGUCAAGUCAUCAUGGCCCUUACGACCAGGGCUACACACGUGCUACAAUGGCAUAUACAAAGAGAAGCGACCUCGCGAGAGCAAGCGGACCUCAUAAAGUAUGUCGUAGUCCGGAUUGGAGUCUGCAACUCGACUCCAUGAAGUCGGAAUCGCUAGUAAUCGUAGAUCAGAAUGCUACGGUGAAUACGUUCCCGGGCCUUGUACACACCGCCCGUCACACCAUGGGAGUGGGUUGCAAAAGAAGUAGGUAGCUUAACCUCGGAGGGCGCUA